CUGCUUUCGGCGGCAGGCCGAUUCGCUACAUAAAAACUGAUCAAAAUUGCAAUCGGAUUUGGAGGAGAAUUGACUGCACUUUUUUAAAAAAAAUAGACGAUGCUUGGUACAAUUCAAUGGCGACCAUACCGCUAUUCAGCUUUCUAGUUGGCGUGCUUCAUAAAUGGUGUGUUGGAAGGAUAUUUAGCCGUGAAAGCCAUCGUAGCUGAGCCCCCUGCAAAUGCAAGUUUUCCAAUAGGCUAGUGCUCAGAGUAGGGAAUUCCAUGCUCAACGCUGCUGAGGUGUUAAGGUGAUCCAGGCUGCGUGAAGAGCCAAUGAGAUUACAUCCGCCAUGCACCCAUUGUGGUUGUAGGCAAAUCGCAGUGGGUCCAGGUCCUUGCUGAGCCAGGAGUUCAUUCUAGCCAUAAUCAACCUCUCAAAGCAUUUCAUCACAGUAGAUGUGAGUGCUACUGGAUGAUGGUAAGGCAGCUCACACUGCUGUUCUUGGACACUGGUAUAAUAGUUGCCUUUUUGAAGCAGGUAGGAACUUCUGACUGUAGCAAUGAGAGACAGAAAAAGUCGUUGAACACACCCACCAGUGUAGCACUUCUUAUGCUUGUCUGCACUAUCAAAGAAUAAGAAACAAUAAACUU